rnacentral:tRNA from 1 species
GGCUCCAUAGCGUAGUGGUUAGCACUUUUGCUUUACACGCAGAAGGUCCUGGUGGAGCCA